rnacentral:lncRNA from 1 species
GAAGGCUUUUUUGUAAAUAUAUUGAUAAGAUAGCUUGGUAUCCAAACAUAAAGAAUUAUGAUCCUUCUUGUGUACAUAAGAAAUUGGGUGGGUAUAGGUCAUAUAAAAAGAAGUGUUUCCUCGAUCAUAAAAUAAAAAAAGAAAAAGCAGACAGGAAGAGUUUGAUUCUUUAAACAAGCAGGUUUGGCUUAUAUUUUAGCACCCUAACUCUCUUGUUUGCUUUGAUACUAUGAAAUAAAAUAGAGAAAAAGACCUUCAAGAGAAUAAAUAAAUAAAACCAUUUUCAAGAGACAAACUCCAGUGAACCCCUUUCCUCCCAUUCAUUGCCCUUUGAAAGAAGUCAAAAUAAAAAAAGAAUCUAACGCUCUAGUCGAAUUGAAGACUUUCAACGCUCAUGCUAUUUGAAAGAGCUUUCAACAUGGAGUGGAGACUCCAUAACGUACACAAAGAGUAAGCGAUCUAUGAAUAUCAUCCCAAUUCAGGUCUUGUUCCGCACUUAAAUGGAUAACUCAAACCCUUACCUUGACCAGUUUGUAGUGGAAAACCUCAAUGACAUAAUCGUUUAUAGUCACGAAUUCCAGUGAACCCCUUACCUCCUAUUCAUUGCCCUUUGAAAGAAGUCAUAAUAAAAAAAGAAUCUAACGCUCUAGUCGAACUGAAGACUUUCAAGGCUUAUCCUAUUUGAAAGAGCUUUCAACAUGGAGUGGAGACUCCAUAACGUACACAAAGAGUAAGCGAUCAAUGAAUAUCAUCCCAAUUCAGGUCUUGUUCCGCACUUAAAUGGAUAA